rnacentral:SRP_RNA from 1 species
UGUUGACGUUUGGGUUCUGCGCAACGGAAUCCUGUGAACCCUGUCAGGUCCGGAAGGAAGCAGCAGUAAGCAGAUCAUUCCGUGUGCCGCAGAGUUGCCUGGACCGAGCUAACU